GUCGCACUCUCAUUGCGAGCAUGCGUACCGCUCCUUAUUUUUUUAUUUUUUCUCCUCCGCAGAGCCAAUAGGGUUAAAUCCAAGGGUCCUCCUAUUUUUUAUCCAACCCUUCCUCCCUCUACACCCAAUCCCGUAUGUAGAUCUUGUUCAGCCUAAGCGAUUGAGAAGCCAUCUCAGCACAGACCCUUUUUUUAAGUUAGUGUCGGACCGAACCUCCAACGUGUAGCAUGUUACCUCUUUAACUCCUUCCUGGUCGAUUUAUUUACUAGAGCUUGUGCUAUUUAUGUUUUAUUUUUAAUACACAGUUCAAGCUCAUUUCUUAUUUUUUAUAAUUUAGUUUCAAAUUCUGGUUACUUUUAUAAUUUUUAAUACAUUUUAAAGCCAAUUCAGUUUCAAUAUCAAGUUUUACUCUCCGUUUCAUAUUAUCAUCCAAUUAAAAUUUUGAAUCAAAAGUUAACAUAGAAUAUUAAUCAUGUGUGCUAAGAGAUUCUCAAAAAUUUUUCACAGUUAAUUUAUAGUGCAGCAGUUACAAAUAAAAAAAUCAAAGGCAAAAUAACCAUAGCGUAAAAACCCAAACGCGUCUCACUUUAUAAUGAUGUGUCUUAAUUUUGAAAUAUUCUGGAGUGAUCAUCAAUGUUAUAUAUGAGGAUGAUCACAAUUAUAGUUUUUGGUGUGUGUGAGUGUUAUCUGAAAUAUUACUGAAAUAAUUUUUCAUAUGGCCUUCAAUCUUCAUCAGAAACUUUAUGGAUACCAUUUUAACAGCUGUUCAUAUAAAAUCUAGUCCGUGGGAAUACAUUAAAUCUCUUGGAAAUCGUACGUAUUAUGUUUGCGUGGAUACAGAGGCUCCAACACGUUCUUGGUUGCAAGUAUAAUCAAACUCCUGCUGCAUGAAGAUCGAUCCUCCAAUCAUGCAAUUUGCUUGUUUACACCACUGCAGGGUUGCUUGGCUGAUAUUUGGUGCAAAUGGUGAUGCAAGGGAAGCAGAAUUUUUCCUCUUAAUUUCAAAGGUUGUUCCGAGGCAGUCCGAAAAAACGAGCGGUCAGACAAACGCUGAUUAUAUUUCUUUUUCUCUCCCAGAGCCACGGUCCACUGCCACGUUUUCCAUCGGUUUAUGGUCGACACACAGAGGGUCUAAUGGGCCAAAAGACAUGAUGAGUUGCUGGUUAAUUUAA
rnacentral:lncRNA from 1 species